rnacentral:lncRNA from 10 species
CACAGCCACCAUGCUGUAAGGAAGCCCAAGCCACCCUGUGGAGAGGCCCACGUGGAGAACCACAGCCAGCAACAACAAUGUGUGUGAGCUAUCUUGAAAGUGGAGUUCCAGUUGAGCUGCCCCAGCUGACAGCAUGGAGCACAGGCUUUCUUUAGAUGAGCAACCAUGGUGGCUGCUACUUCCUGUGGAGCAAGAGGAACGUGGACUGUAAGGGUCAUGUGCACGGGGUGGGAAGCGCUGGUGGGUGAGCUGGGGUCCCCCCAAUGAUGGAUUGUUGGGGAGCUUUCUUUCAAGGCACUAAUAAACACACAAGCGGCUCCAGUUCUUGAAAAAUG